GNUCAGGAAAGUCUGGAGUAAAAGANUAUGGCUCAACCAUAGUGUGCUCUGGAAACUGUCUGACUUGAGUGCAGAAGGGGAGAGUGGAAUUCCAUGUGUAGCGGUGAAAUGCGUAGAUAUAUGGAGGAACACCAGUGGCGAAAGCGGCUCUCUGGUCUGUCACUGACGCUGAGGCUCGAAAGCGUGGGUAGCGAACAGGAUUAGAUACCCUGGUAGUNCACGCCGUAAACGAUGAGUGCUAGGUGUUAGGCCCUUUCCGGGGCUUAGUGCCGGAGCUAACGCAAUAAGCACUCCGCCUGGGGAGUACGACCGCAAGGUUGAAACUCAAAGGAAUUGACGGGGGCCCGCACAAGCGGUGGAGCAUGUGGUUUAAUUCGAAGCAACGCGAAGAACCUUACCAGGUCUUGACAUCCCGAUGCUAUUCUUAGAGAUAGGAAGUUACUUCGGUACAUCGGAGACAGGUGGUGCAUGGUUGUCGUCAGCUCGUGUCGUGAGAUGUUGGGUUAAGUCCCGCAACGAGCGCAACCCUUAUUGUUAGUUGCCAUCAUUAAGUUGGGCACUCUAGCGAGACUGCCGGUAAUAAACCGGAGGAAGGUGGGGAUGACGUCAAAUCAUCAUGCCCCUUAUGACCUGGGCUACACACGUGCUACAAUGGUCGGUACAACGAGUUGCGAGCCGGUGACGGCAAGCUAAUCUCUGAAAGCCGAUCUCAGUUCGGAUUGGAGGCUGCAACUCGCCUCCAUGAAGUCGGAAUCGCUAGUAAUCGCGGAUCAGCACGCCGCGGUGAAUACGUUCCCGGGCCUUGUACACACCGCCCGUCACACCACGAGAGUUUGUAACACCCGAAGUCGGUGAGGUANCCUUUUAGGG
rnacentral:rRNA from 1 species